GACUUCACUGUGUAUGAGCAUCACUCCUUAUGAUCAUAAGGUCUACCCCUGUCCUAGCCGGUGGCAGUGGUUCACUCUUUCUUAGGGGUAUAAUGGUCAUAUUAUUACACCUGGAGCCAGGAUGGAAAAUGCCAAGUAUUUAGUCGGAGUAGAGAAAACUGCUCAGGGUCUCCCCCCCUCCCCUCGAGAAGGUUGUCUGGACAGAGACACUGGGACGAGCCUGGGCCAAGGGUCCCCAGUAGAGAGGAGUCUGGGUGAGAUUCCUGGGCUAGACAUGCAUAAGAGCAUGACCAGCUUAGGGGGCCCAGUCUUUCACGGCACCCUCCCCCCCAAGACUGCACCAGCCACGCACCCAAUCUGGUGUGGGCAGUGGGGACAGCUUUCCCAGGAAGCCUGCAGGGAAAUCUUGGCAGUUGGCUGUGGUUAGCUCUGAAGGACCACUCGCAGAGAUUUCAAGGAUGGUGGGGAAGGAAAUUCCCAGGAAAAGACGUCCACACAGCAAUCCCUCCAGAAGAGGAGAGGGGGGGGUAUAAGGGUCUAAAAAAUUAUGUAGCAGGGAGUGGUUUUCAGAAACCCUGCAAAAUCGCACCCCUUCCUCUCCUGAGUCUGCCACCAGGUAGAUCUUCAGCUUGUUUCUCACCCUCAGCAUUUUCUCCUCAGAUGCAACAUCUACAGUGUCUUCCAAAUGGAGGACACAUGCUUUGUCGCAGUCAGGCUUCUAGCAGAAAAUAGAAAGUGCAUUCCCAUGGGGUUAUUAAGAGUCUGCACAGCCGAUUGGGAAGCAUUAGGGGAAGUCCUGAAGGAGGCAAAGGCUCCCAGAGUCUAUCAAAGUAGAAGAGGAACCGUUAUCACCGAGCCUGAGAAGUGAGAGGAAAUAAAGUCCAGAUGAUACCAGGGUUCAGUUGGAGAGCUGUGGUGGAGGGGCUGCCCGGCAAAAGUCAGGACUGAUGGAGGAAACAGCUCACUGCAGCAGCAACCACACAGGGAAGGUUGCCUCCCAGCUCCUGCCGGUGCCUCCCACCAUCUAAACUCACCUGGAUUCCAGAGGGUCACAGACUCUGGGAGGUGCAGGCUACGUCCAUCAGUAUCCCAGGGCACAGAGUUGGGAAGGGAAGGGCAGAGGUUGGAUCUGAAGGGGGAAAUGGGAAACACGUCCCUUCUCUCCAGGCUUCAGGUUGGAAGGUGUGGUUGAUGGCCUGAGUUGCUCAGCAUUUUUUUUCUUCCUUCCUCUCUUUCCCUGAGUCCUCUUUGAUGGAAGGUCCACACCUCCUUCCUCCAUGGACUUUGGAGUUUGCAUCCAUUUUGCUUUAUUUCAUGGGACAUCAGCAGAAAAUGCUGUAAAUGCAAAUGGUUCAGGUUACCCUGUGGCCACUUACAUUCCAACCUUACAAAAAUAGGCCUACGAUAGCCACUAGUUCCAAAAUAAUGAGACCAGGUGGAACAGACAUGACUAAGCUUAUGCACUGGGUUCCACUUAGGGUGGUGAUGGCAGUGGGGCAGCCUAAAUCAGCCCCACUUUUGCUGACCUGCAGACUCAUAUGUCGGAAAAUAACAAUUUGUUACAGCAGGGCUUUGGGAUUUAGGUUUGUUACACAGCAUAGUUUAGGUCAGAGCUGACUGAUAGAGAAAAGGAGCAUCUUCUAAGGUGGGGAAAUGUGCUCAGCAAAACCUCUCAAGAAAAUCUGCAGCACAUUGUCUAGAUUCUCGUAUCUUCCAAGAGGAGUGGAAGGAGGGAACUAGCUCUCUUACUGUUCUUUGCAAGUGAACAUAUGAUCUGUAUCCUCCUUUAAAAUUCCAAAUCUAUUGUAUUUUGCACCCUAUUGGACAGUUAAAGUUUCACAUUGUGUUGCCAAUGAUA